GAGAAAGGGAGUUUGUGAAGAGAGGAGGUGAUUUUUGAAGGAGAUAAAGGAGAAAAAAGAAUGAAUCAAGAGUUUGGGAUUUUCAUAGGCUUGGAUUCCAAGAUUGAGAUUUGAGCCUGGUUUGAGAUUGGGUGUUAGCCAAGAAGUGAUUGAGCAACAAAUUGGCUAAGGUUGGUUGAAUUUGGAGACAUGGUAACAAGGAUUUGGGCGACUUGCUCAAAAGAGGUAGGGAUUUUCUUAACCCUCAAUUUUGAAACACUAUUGGCUACCCGAAUCAUGUUUAGAUUCAUUCAUUUCCGCCUUAUUAUUCAAAGGGAAACAAACCCUUUGUAUGUAUGCUAUUGUGUAUGAAAUACCAUUAUUGUUGGGUGCUUGUGUUUGAUGCAUGUAACCCUUUAGGCGCUCGAUCUUUCAUCGAGUGGUUGAUAAUCUUGGCAUGUAUUUUGAAUGGAAUUGCGCAAAAUUUAUGUUUUGCAUACUUUGUAUGUGACAUGAUGUGCAUUAGUUGUAUGAUAUGUAUUAAUUGCAUGGUGUUGGAGAUAUGGGGAAAUGACUCAGUAUUAGAGAAC